rnacentral:rRNA from 1 species
GAUCAUGGCUCAGGAUGAACGCUAGCUACAGGCUUAACACAUGCAAGUCGAGGGGCAUCAGGGUGUAGCAAUACGCCGCUGGCGACCGGCGCACGGGUGAGUAACACGUAUCCAACCUGCCCUUUACUCGGGGAUAGCCUUUCGAAAGAAAGAUUAAUACCCGAUGGUAUAACAUGACCUCCCGGUUUUGUUAUUAAAGAAUUUCGGUAGAGGAUGGGGAUGCGUUCCAUUAGGCAGUUGGCGGACGGACCG